rnacentral:rRNA from 1 species
CGGGACGGGUGAGUAACGCGUGGGUAACCUGCCUUGUACUGGGGGACAACAGUUAGAAAUGACUGCUAAUACCGCAUAGGCGCACAGUAUCGCAUGAUACAGUGUGAAAAACUCCGGUGGUACAAGAUGGACCCGCGUCUGAUUAGCUAGUUGGUAAGGUAAGGGCUUACCAAGGCGACGAUCAGUAGCCGACCUGAGAGGGUGACCGGCCACAUUGGGACUGAGACACGGCCCAA